GACGAACCGUGCAACGUUGUUCGGAAUCACUGGGCUUAAAGGGCGCGUAGGCGGGCCAGCCAGUCUGUGGUGAAAGCCUCCAGCUUAACUGGAGAAGUGCCGUGGAUACUGCUGGCCUCGAGGAGGAUAGGGCAUCUGGAACGGUCGGUGGAGCGGUGAAAUGCGUUGAUAUCGACCGGAACUCCGGUGGCGAAGGCGAGGUGCUGGUCCUUCUGACGCUGAUGCGCGAAAGCCAGGGAGCAAGCGGGAUUAAGAAACCCG
rnacentral:rRNA from 1 species